UCUCUUAGUCUUACUGUCAGGUUGACAUUUGUAGUCCUGAGUGAAACUUCUCACCAACUAUUGGAUGGAGUGCCAUGGAAUUUGGUACAGACAUUAAUUUAGUUUAUGACUUAAUACUUGUAAUAUUUGCUACAGCCUCAGCUGCACUUGCUGCUAAAUAGCACGUUAGCAUGCUUACACACUACACUUAGA